AGGACGAACGCUGGCGGCGUGCUUAACACAUGCAAGUCGAACGGAAAGGCCCCUUCGGGGGUACUCGAGUGGCGAACGGGUGAGUAACACGUGGGCAACCUGCCCCUAGCUCUGGGAUAACACUUGGAAACAGGUGCUAAUACCGGAUAACGACCUCUCAUGGCAUCAUGAAUGGUCCAAAGUUUUUCGGCUAGGGAUGGGCCCGCGGCCUAUCAGCUUGUUGGUGGGGUAACAGCCUACCAAGGCGACGACGGGUAGCCGGCCUGAGAGGGCGACCGGCCACACUGGGACUGAGACACGGCCCAGACUCCUACGGGAGGCAGCAGUGGGGAAUAUUGCGCAAUGGGCGAAAGCCUGACGCAGCGACGCCGCGUGAGGGAUGACGGCCUUCGGGUUGUAAACCUCUUUCAGCAGGAACGAAUCAAGACGGUACCUGCAGAAGAAGCACCGGCUAACUACGUGCCAGCAGCCGC
rnacentral:rRNA from 1 species